rnacentral:rRNA from 1 species
CCUACGGGUGGCAGCAGUGGGGAAUAUUGGGCAAUGGAGGCAACUCUGACCCAGCCAUGCCGCGUGAAUGAUGAAGGUCUUCGGGUUGUACAGUUCUGUGAUCGGGGAUGAACACAAUGACGGUACCCCAAUAGCAAGCCACGGCUACCUACGUGCCAGCCGCCGCGGUAAUACGUAGGUGGAAAGCGUUAUCCGGAAUGACUGGACGCAAAGGGUGCGAAGGCGGUUUAGUAAGUUGGCGGUGUAAUUCCGGGGCUCAACCUCGGCGCUACCGCCAAAACUAUUAGACUUGAGUGCAGGAGGGGUGAGUAGAAUUCCUAGUGUAGCGGUGGAAUGCGUAGAUAUUAGGAGGAACAUCAGGGGCGAAGGCGACUUACUGGACGAUAACUGACGCUGAGGCGCGAAAGCGUGGGGAGCAAACAGGAUUAGAUACCCGGGUAGUC